UACGGGGGGGGUAAGCGUUGUUCGGAAUUACUGGGCGUAAAGGGCUCGUAGGCGGCCAACUAAGUCGGACGUGAAAUCCCUCAGCUUAACUGGGGAACUGCGUCCGAUACUGGAUGGCUUGGAUUUGGGAGAGGGAUGCGGAAUUCCAGGUGUAGCGGUGAAAUGCGUAGAUAUCGAGAGGAACACCGGUGGCGAAGGCGGAUCUCUGGGCCGAUACUGACGCUGAGGAGCGAAAGCGUGGGGAGCGAACAGG
rnacentral:rRNA from 1 species